UGGGGAAUAUUGCACAAUGGAGGGAACUCUGAUGCAGCGACGCCGCGUGAACGAAGAAGGCUUUCGAGUCGUAAAGUUCUUUUAUAUGGGAAGAUAAUGGCGGUACCAUAAGAAAAAGCCCCGGCUAACUACGUGCCAGCAGCCGCGGUAAUACGUAGGGGGCUAGCGUUGUCCGGAAUCACUGGGCGUAAAGGGUUCGCAGGCGGAAAUGCAAGUCAGGUGUAAAAGGCAGUAGCUUAACUACUGUAAGCAUUUGAAACUGCAUAUCUUGAGAAGAGUAGAGGUAAGUGGAAUUUUUAGUGUAGCGGUGAAAUGCGUAGAUAUUAAAAAGAAUACCGGUGGCGAAGGCGACUUACUGGGCUCAUUCUGACGCUGAGGAACGAAAGCGUGGGUAGCAAACAGG
rnacentral:rRNA from 2 species